rnacentral:rRNA from 1 species
ACGUACACUCCUACGGGAGGCAGCAGUGGGGAAUAUUGGACAAUGGGCGCAAGCCUGAUCCAGCCAUGCCGCGUGAGUGAUGAAGGCCCUAGGGUUGUAAAGCUCUUUCACCGGUGAAGAUAAUGACGGUAACCGGAGAAGAAGCCCCGGCUAACUUCGUGCCAGCAGCCGCGGUAAUACGAAGGGGGCUAGCGUUGUUCGGAUUUACUGGGCGUAAAGCGCACGUAGGCGGACUAUUAAGUCAGGGGUGAAAUCCCGGGGCUCAACCCCGGAACUGCCUUUGAUACUGGUAGUCUUGAGUUCGAGAGAGGUGAGUGGAAUUCCGAGUGGAGAGGUGAAAUUCGUAGAUAUUCGGAGGAACUCCAGUGGCGAAGGCGGCUCACUGGCUCGAUACUGACGCUGAGGUGCGAAAGCGUGGGGAGCAAACAGGAUUAGAUACCCGUGUAGUCCCA